UACGUAGGGGGCUAGCGUUGUCCGGAAUCAUUGGGCGUAAAGAGCGUGUAGGCGGUCCGGUAAGUCCGCUGUGAAAGUCGGGGGCUCAACCCUCGAAUGCCGGUGGAUACUGUCGGGCUAGAGUGCGGAAGAGGCGAGUGGAAUUCCUGGUGUAGCGGUGGAAUGCGCAGAUAUCAGGCGGAACACCGAUGGCGAAGGCAGUUCUCUGGGCCGUAACUGACGCUGAGGAGCGAAAGCGUGGGGAGCGAACAGG
rnacentral:rRNA from 1 species